UGCAAUGUGGAAAAUGUACGUCCUGUUUGAGUGACGUACACCGGAAAUAGGCGUCCAUUGCGUUUUUGCCCCAAAGAGAUUCUCCAUUAAUCUCUCCAAGCAACGUUUUUUCACGAAUUUCAUUCCAUGACGACAACUUCUGUUGUGUUUGGUCACUGCUGCGUUACAGACACCGUUUGGAAAUAAUUCAGAUUCACGGAUUCCUCAGUAAAUUCGCCAAAACGUCACCGUGGAGUUGUUGAGUCUGUUUUGCUGAUUGGAGCUGGUGGGUCCAUGGCGAUGACUUCUGUUUUGUUUGAUCAGCCGUUUUACUGCCGUGUUACAGACACCGUUUGGAAACAAUUCAGGGCCAUUAAACGGGGACAGUGGUGCAUCGGUCCAUCAUGCCGGGAGGAUCUCGUGAACAUUGGAUGGAAACUGACAAAUACAAACUUUGGAUAAAACGUGGACCAAAUCCACGUGUAGCCUGCUACAACGUAUGCAAUGGGAGAGUCGGCUCUCUCGAGUAUGAAAGGUGGCCCUUGGCAAAGGCCUAGUACCUGACUGACCCCUAGCCAGGGAUACGGCGAAGACCUCAACAGCAGAGCAGAUGGAAGAACUACCACAAUGGCUGCGAUGGCGAAAGAAGGCUGCAGCAGAAAAGGGUCUUCAGUCGUCUUGGACUCCAUGCCUUUGGACCCUGACCCGAUUCUGUCAAAGAUCGUGUCAAGCAGAGUCAAAGUCAUGCACUGGCAUCCUCCAUAAAGGGAUACCCCUACCAGGAGGAUCGUCAUACUCGUUUGAGUGACCGCCACUGAUGAUGAUGA